GACGAACGCUGGCGGCGUGCUUAACACAUGCAAGUCGAGCGGUAAGGCCCUUUCGGGGGUACGACGAGCGGCGAACGGGUGAGUAACACGUGGGUGACCUGCCCUCAGCUCUGGGAUAAGCCUGGGAAACCGGGUCUAAUACUGGAUAUGACUCCAUGACGCAUGUUGGUGGGGUGGAAAGCCUUGUGCGGCUGAGGAUGGGCCCGCGGCCUAUCAGCUUGUUGGUGGGGUGAGGCCUACCAAGGCGACGACGGGUAGCCGGCCUGAGAGGGCGACCGGCCACACUGGGACUGAGACACGGCCCAGACUCCUACGGGAGGCAGCAGUGGGGAAUCUUGCGCAAUGGGCGAAAGCCUGACGCAGCGACGCCGCGUGAGGGAUGACGGCCUGG
rnacentral:rRNA from 1 species